CUCUAGGGCUUCACAUGUACAUAGUUCUUACUGGAUUGACGGGGUUUGUGAGCGUUGGUUCCGGUGAAGUCAGCUAUUCACCAAGUUUCAUGAGUGUUUCAUGGACUGUAGUCGGUGUAGACAGACAAGGCUAUGCACCAAGUUUCAUGAGUGUUUGAUUGACUGUAGUGUGUGUGCCCAAAGAGCUGAUUGGAACUGAAGAGCGCAGACAAGGCUAUGCACCAAGAGCUGAUUGGACUGAAGAGAGCAGAUAAGGCCAGUUCAUCGGCAGCUGCCAGGGGCUCUCUUCUCUCAACGUCCAGGUUUUCUGCCAGCUAUCAUGACAAAUUUAUAGAUUCAUUUUAAAUAAACAAUUGAGUGUGAAGUCACUGCACAUUUCCUGGUGUUUUUUUGGUACCUGAAAGAGUUUUUUUUGUUAAAUUGUGCACCUUUUCCACUAGGCCAGAACGUUUGUACAUUUAGAAGACAUAAGUUACGUCAAUUUAAUGGCAGAUGUGCUCCGCUAAUUAUGUGGGCCGGUCUGAGCCAAAA